rnacentral:rRNA from 1 species
CAGCACCUCAAGUGGUCAGGAUGAUUAUUGGGCCUAAAGCAUCCGUAGCCGGCUCUGUAAGUUUUCGGUUAAAUCUGUACGCUCAACGUACAGGCUGCCGGGAAUACUGCAGAGCUAGGGAGUGGGAGAGGUAGACGGUACUCGGUAGGAAGGGGUAAAAUCCUUUGAUCUAUUGAUGACCACCUGUGGCGAAGGCGGUCUACCAGAACACGUCCGACGGUGAGGGAUGAAAGCUGGGGGAGCAAGCCGGAUUAGAUACCCGAGUAGUCC